CAAUUCAUUCUGUUAUUUUCUUUCUGGUUUUAAACCUUCUGCCGCAACUCCCCCAGAUCCAAAACGUUUUCUACCAUUUUUCCCUAUCUCUGCCGCAAAUUUAAAAGGUUUAGGAUCAACAAAUCUUAUAGUUUCCUUCUUUCAUCAAUAGGAAUCUGACGAGCCAGAAAAAGGAUUUCAAUGGAAGCAAAAGGAAUCAUAUGUGGGCUCCCAGCAAAGAACGUGAAACCAAAAAUCAAAGAAAUAAGUGACCAAGGUGAGGGAAGUCGCGCGGAUGAUGAUGUCAAGGAGAUAACAAGGCUAGAGUACAGAAAAUCCCUCGCUCACCUAGACUACUUAAUACGCAUCGAGGUAGACGAAGAAGACAUUGACCCAAUGUACAUGAGAAUAAUCCAAGACAUCCAAAACAAAUGCCCAAAAGUAGAAGGAUCCUCACGAUCUGGAAACGCUACUUGAAGAUUGUACUGUUAGAAUCUAUUGUCUUUGUUAUUUUCUAAACUUUGUUAACUAUCCACAAGUAUGUUUAGACUACGUCAACUUUUAAUAUUUUCGGAUCUCA